CCUACGGGAGGCAGCAGUAGGGAAUCUUCCACAAUGGGCGAAAGCCUGAUGGAGCAACGCCGCGUGGGUGAAGAAGGUCUUCGGAUCGUAAAACCCUGUUGUUAGAGAAGAAAGUGCGUGCGAGUAACUGUUCACGUUUCGACGGUAUCUAACCAGACAGCCACGGCUAACUACGUGCCAGCAGCCGCGGUAAUACGUAGGUGGCAAGCGUUAUUCGGAUUUAUUGGGCGUAAAGGGAACGCAGGCGGUCUGUUAAGUCUGAUGUGAAAGCCUUCGGCUUAACCGGAGUAGUGCAUUGGAAACUGGGAGACUGGAGUGCAGAGGAGGAGAGUGGAACUCCAGGUGGAGCGGUGAAAUGCGUAGAUAUAUGGAAGAACACCAGUGGCGAAAGCGGCUCUCUGGUCUGUAACUGACGCUGAGGUUCGAAGGCGUGGGUAGCAAACAGGAUUAGAUACCCGAGUAGUC
rnacentral:rRNA from 1 species